GACGAAGAACGCAGUGAAAUGCGAUACGUAAUGUGAAUUGCAGAAUUCAGUGAAUCAUCGAAUCUUUGAACGCAUAUUGCGCUCUCUGGUAUUCCGGAGAGCAUGCUUGUUUGAGUAUCAGUAAACACCUCAACUUCCAUAUCUUUUUUUGAAAUGGGAGUUGGACUUGAGUGAUCCCAACGCUUUUCCUCACCGAAAAGUGGCGGGUUACUUGAAAUGCAGGUGCAGCUGGACUUUUCUCUGAGCUAUAAGCAUAUCUAUUUAGUCUGCCUAAAAAACAGAUUAUUACCUUUGCUGCAGCUAACAUAAAGGAGAUUAGUUCUUGUGCUGACUGAUGCAGGAUUCACAAAGACAGCUUCGGCCGACUUUGUAAACUCGAUCUCAAAUCAAGUAAGACUACCCGCUGAACUUAAGCAUAUCAAUAAGCGGAGGA
rnacentral:misc_RNA from 1 species